rnacentral:lncRNA from 1 species
AGAAAUAAAGUUUGUGUUUAUUGAUCAGUCACCAAAUCUUCCAAUUUGGCUGAAAAUUGUGGCAACAAAAAUUUUAUUUAGUAUCCCUUUAGAAGCUAAAGAAUCUACCUUUCCACAAAGUUUGCUAUGUUUAACACAGCUGAACGUGGAGAAAGGGAGUUUGACAUUGCCGCUGCGUACAGCAUCCAAAGAAGUGUGCCGAGUGCAACACUGAAGAGCCAGGAGGCAAGGACAAAGCCUCUGAUCUACUAAAGCAGAUCAUGGGAUUCCAAUGCCCAAAGGUUUUGUACGGCUGCUUAUAAUGACAAGUUGUUUACAUGUAUGCCCUAUUUCAUUGCAUGUAGCCUGCCCCUGCAUACAAAAAAAACUUCCCUGUAUAGCCGUGAAGCCGCCUUUUUUGAAUUAGCGUUACUUUUUUAAGCAGUGCCGUGAAACCAACUUUCAACGCACCGAAAUUUGCUUUGAAGAUACGGUAACCUUUUCAUAAGGUUUGCAUUGAAUUACACAAUAUAUAAAACUACUUCCAUAUUUUUUUGCCAGUUCAAUGAAUGCAGGUGCAUGCUCUUAAAAGCUAUAUUCACUUUGUAGUGCACCUUAACGAUACGAUAUGGCACGAGCUGCUUGUCACACACUUGCACAAGAUAUCGUCACAUUCCCAUGGCCGCUUUGCUAAGCAACUUUGUUGGUGAUGCACUAGUGGCCAUUUUGUAUGUUUGGUAUCUGAUGUAACUAUGACUGGAGCAUUAAGUCGCUAAAACUGCUACCAUAGCCUACUGCCAUGCUGGGGUGUGAGUAGGUGAGCUGUAUGAAAACUGACUAAUGUAAAAUAACAUAGUUUAUCAGCAUUUCCCGAGCUACACACUUGUUUACAGCAGUCUCUGUAUACAGGAGAUUUGUACGAUGAAAUCAUGUGAGUUUCAAAAAUUGAUUUAAGUUAAGAGCACUGAUACCCUGCACUUUUUUUUUUUUGUUGCAAUAGGUAGCUUAUGACCCCCUUAUCAUGGCUGGCAACUUCGUUUGUGUGAGCACGACAGCUAUUUAUUUAGAGACACAUUUAGAGCGGCCAGUCGGAGCUCUUCGAAACCUUUUGGUUUCAAAAACCACUGAGCUCAGCGGAAGCAGUUCCGGUGGCUAGGUAAACACAACUGCCCACAGGACCCACAAAGCUGUAGCGUGGGCACCGCGCACGAUAGUGUGUGCCACACUGACCAGGCAACACAAACUCCUGAUGCAUGUUUAUACUGAUGCCGUGUUCAUGGCAUCGCGAUGUGCUCGCAUGCAGCUCAGUCGCGCGGCAUGCACUUGUUAUGUGACAGUGUGCCUUUAAUAACCCUGAUUGACUUGGCCAUCCUGAGCAGCGGCGUACAGUGCCCUGGAAUGAGAGCUCCACACAACAGGACUUGAAAAGCAAUAGCACAAACAAAAGCUUUCUUCUGCUAUGCUUGAUAACCCAAGCUCAACUACCAAGACAAUGAAAUGUGAACAUUUAUUUUCAUAGUACUUUUUCUCAUUUUCCAGUCAAGGAGACCACACACAGCUUGUGCACGUGUGAGGCCUCCUGCAGCACCUGACAACAUGAAGUGCAACAGAAACAGG